rnacentral:rRNA from 1 species
UACGUAGGCAGCAAGCGUUGUUCGGAAUUACUGGGCGUAAAGAGUGUGUAGGCGGUGUUCUAAGUUUGUCGUGAAAUCUCCCGGCUUAACUGGGAGGGUGCGGCGAAAACUGGAAUGCUAGAGGAUGGGAGAGGUAAGCGGAAUUCCUGGUGUAGCGGUGAAAUGCGUAGAUAUCAGGAGGAACACCGAUGGCGAAGGCAAUCCCCUGGGCCUGCACUGACGCUCAUGCACGAAAGCGUGGGGAGCAAACAGG